GUCGAGCGGUACAGAUUGAUAGCUUGCUAUCAAUGCUGACGAGCGGCGGACGGGUGAGUAAUGCCUGGGAAUAUGCCCUGAUGUGGGGGAUAACUAUAGGAAACGAUAGCUAAUACCGCAUAAUCUCUUCGGAGCAAAGAGGGGGACCUUCGGGCCUCUCGCGUCAGGAUUAGCCCAGGUGGGAUUAGCUUGUUGGUGGGGUAAUGGCUCACCAAGGCAACGAUCCCUAGCUGGUCUGAGAGGAUGAUCAGCCACACUGGAACUGAGACACGGUCCAGACUCCUACGGGAGGCAGCAGUGGGGAAUAUUGCACAAUGGGGGAAACCCUGAUGCAGCCAUGCCGCGUGUAUGAAGAAGGCCUUCAGGUUGUAAAGUACUUUCAGUUGUGAGGAAGGCGUUGAUGUUAAUAGCUUCAGCGUUUGACGUUAGCAACAGAAGAAGCACCGGCUAACUCCGUGCCAGCAGCCGCGGUAAUACGGAGGGUGCGAGCGUUAAUCGGAAUUACUGGGCGUAAAGCGCAUGCAU
rnacentral:rRNA from 1 species